GCCUGGGUGACUCAGUCGGUUGAGCAUCCGACUUCAGCUCAGGUCAUGAUCUCACCGUUUGUGGGUUCGAGCCCCACGUCGGGCU
rfam:Felis catus isolate Cinnamon breed Abyssinian chromosome B4, whole genome shotgun sequence.